rnacentral:ncRNA from 12 species
AGACUUAGAGGAUAGGAAUUGCAGUACUAUCGCCCCGUAAUUGGAAGGAGACGCAAGGUAGCUGCGCUUGCCUAAGUCU